AGUGAACGCUGGCGGUAGGCCUAACACAUGCAAGUCGAACGGCAGCACAGUAAGAGCUUGCUCUUAAGGGUGGCGAGUGGCGGACGGGUGAGGAAUACAUCGGAAUCUACUUUUUCGGGGGGGAUAACGUAGGGAAACUUCCGCUAAUACAGAAUACGACCUACGGGUGAAAGCAGGGGAUCUUCGGACCUUGCGCGAUUGAAUGAGACGAUGUCGGAUUAGCUAGUUGGCGGGGUAAAGGAUCACCAAGGCAACGAUACGUAGCUGGUCUGAGAGGAUGAUCAGCCACACUGGAACUGAGACACGGUCCAGACUCCUACGGGAGGCAGCAGUAGGGAAUAUUGGACAAUGGGCGAAAGCCUGAUCGAGCCAUACCGCGUGAGUGAUGAAGGUCUUCGGAUUGUAAAGCCCUGUUAUUAGGAAAGAAAAACAGCGUAUGUAUACCUGGCUGUUCUGACGGUACCCAAUGAGAAAGCACCGGCUAACUUCGUG
rnacentral:rRNA from 1 species